UACGGAGGGUGCGAGCGUUGUCCGGAAUCACUGGGCGUAAAGGGCGCGUAGGCGGCGUCGGUAGUCCGUGGUGAAAGCUCGUGGCUCAACUGCGAGUCGGCCAUGGAUACUCCGAUGCUUGAGCACUGUAGAGGCAGGUGGAAUUCCGGGUGUAGCGGUGGAAUGCGUAGAGAUCCGGAAGAACACCGGUGGCGAAGGCGGCCUGCUGGGCAGUAGCUGACGCUGAGGCGCGACAGCGUGGGGAGCAAACGGG
rnacentral:rRNA from 1 species